AUUGAACGCUGGCGGCAUGCUUUACACAUGCAAGUCGAACGGCAGCGCGGGCUUCGGCCUGGCGGCGAGUGGUGAACGGGUGAGUAAUGCAUCGGAACGUGCCCAGUAGUGGGGGAUAGCCCGGCGAAAGCCGGAUUAAUACCGCAUACGACCUGAGGGUGAAAGCGGGGGACCGAAAGGCCUCGCGCUAUUGGAGCGGCCGAUGUCGGAUUAGCUAGUUGGUGGGGUAAAGGCUUACCAAGGCGACGAUCCGUAGCUGGUCUGAGAGGACGACCAGCCACACUGGAACUGAGACACGGCCCAGACUCCUACGGGAGGCAGCAGUGGGGAAUGUUGGACAAUGGGGGCAACCCUGAUCCAGCCAUGCCGCGUGCGAGAAGAAGGCCUUCGGGUUGUAAACCGCUUUUGUUCGGGAAGAAAUCCUCUGGGCUAAUACCCCGGGGGGAUGACGGUACCGGAAGAAUAAGCACCGGCUAACUACGUG
rnacentral:rRNA from 1 species